AAGUUGUUGCAGUUAAAAAGCUCGUACUUGGAUUUCUGGUUAAAGGUUAGAGCGCACCUGUGUGAGGCUCGAGUCUUUUGCCAUCCUUCUGUUAACCUUUCAUGACAUUCAUUUGUCGGUUUGGGGCUCAGAUAUUUUACCUUGAGAAAAUUAGAGUGUUUCAGGCAGGCUUGUGCCCGGAUACAUUAGCAUGGAAUAAUAGAACAGGACUUUAGCCUCUUCUGUUGGUCUGAGGGGUUGGAGUAAUGAUUAAUAGGGAUAGUUGGGGGCAUUAGUACUUAACUGUUAGAGGUGAAAUUCUCGGAUUUGUUAAAGACUAACUUAUGCGAAAGCAUUUGCCAAGGAUGUUUUCAUUAAUCAAGAACGAAAGUUAGGGGAUCAAAGACGAUCAGAUACCGUCCUAGUCUUAACCAUAAACUAUGCCGACUCGGGAUCGGGGGCGAGAGUUAACUGCCUUCCGCACCGGUAUGAGAAAUCCAAGUCUUGGGGUUCUGGGGGGAGUAUGGUCGCAAGGCUGAAACUUAAAGGAAUUGACGGAAGGGCACCACCAGGCGGGGAGCUUGCGGUCAAUUUGACCCAACCCGGGGAAACUUACCAGGCCCGAACAUAUUGGAGGAUUGGCCGAAUUGAUAGCCCUUUCUUGAU
rnacentral:rRNA from 1 species